GGGGAUGAUCGGUUUCGACGGUGAUUGAUUCACCAGGAGAAGCGGGCCGAGGAUGCGCAGUUAUCUCGUUAACGCUCUGUGCACAACCAAUAGGUGCCGACUCUAAGAGCACCGACUUCGCUCUCGCCGCCUAAGGCGUAGUAGCAGUCCGUCAGUCCAGGGAUGCUUUCGACCUGGAAUCUGGCGUCGAUUAGAAAGCCAAUGCUUCUGAUUCACGUCACGGGGAUCAGAGGGACUCUUUCGUGACUGAGCCUGUUCACCAUCCCGUCUGCGGGCAGGGUGAGGGCUGAGAAAACCAACAGCAGAAUGCGCCCGGAGAAGACCUGGUUUUCCGUCAUCGGACGCGGGUUCGAUUCCCGCCAUCUCCACAA
rnacentral:tmRNA from 1 species